rnacentral:rRNA from 1 species
AAACCUGCGGAGGGAUCAUUA